rnacentral:rRNA from 1 species
AUACGGAGGGUCCGAGCGUUAUCCGGAAUCAUUGGGUUUAAAGGGUCCGUAGGCGGGAAUCUAAGUCAGUGGUGAAAUCUUGCAGCUCAACUGUAAAAUUGCCAUUGAUACUGGAUUUCUUGAAUUAGUGUGAAGUGGUUAGAAUGUGUAGUGUAGCGGUGCAAUGCAUAGAUAUUACACAGAAUACCGAUUGCGAAGGCAGAUCACUAACACUAUAUUGACGCUAAGGGACGAAAGCGUGGGGAGCGAACAGGAUUAGAAACCCGGGUAGUCC